rnacentral:rRNA from 1 species
AUUGAACGCUGGCGGCAUGCCUUACACAUGCAAGUCGAACGGUAACAGGUUAAGCUGACGAGUGGCGAACGGGUGAGUAAUGUAUCGGAACGUGCCCAGUCGUGGGGGAUAACUGCUCGAAAGAGCAGCUAAUACCGCAUACGACCUGAGGGUGAAAGCGGGGGAUCGCAAGACCUCGCGCGAUUGGAGCGGCCGAUAUCAGAUUAGGUAGUUGGUGAGGUAAAGGCUCACCAAGCCGACGAUCUGUAGCUGGUCUGAGAGGACGACCAGCCACACUGGGACUGGGACACGGCCCAGACUCCUACGGGAGGCAGCAGUGGGGAAUUUUGGACAAUGGGCGCAAGCCUGAUCCAGCCAUGCCGCGUGCGGGAAGAAGGCCUUCGGGUUGUAAACCGCUUUUGUCAGGGAAGAAAAGGUUCUGGCUAAUACCUGGGACUCAUGACGGUACCUGAAGAAUAAGCACCGGCUAACUACGUGCCAGCAGCCGCCGUAA